rnacentral:rRNA from 1 species
AUUAUAUUCUGUAGCAAGGUUAACCGAAUAGGGGAGCAGAAGGUAAACCGAGUCUUAACCCGGCGUUAAGUUGCAGGGUAUAGACCCGAAACCCGGUGAUCUAGCCAUGGGCAGGUUGAAGGUUGGGUAACACUAACUGGAGGACCGAACCGACUAAUGUUGAAAAAUUAGCGGAUGACUUGUGGCUGGGGGUGAAAGGCCAAUCAAACCGGGAGAUAGCUGGUUCUCCCCGAAAGCUAUUUAGGUAGCGCCUCGUGAAUUCAUCUCCGGGGGUAGAGCACUGUUUCGGCAAGGGGGUCAUCCCGACUUACCAACCCGAUGCAAACUGCGAAUACCGGAGAAUGUUAUCACGGGAGACACACGGCGGGUGCUAACGUCCGUCGUGAAGAGGGAAACAACCCAGACCGCCAGCUAAGGUCCCAAAGUCAUGGUUAAGUGGGAAACGAUGUGGGAAGGCCCAGACAGCCAGGAUGUUGGCUUAGAAGCAGCCAUCAUUUAAAGAAAGCGUAAUAGCUCACUGGUCGAGUCGGCCUGCGCGGAAGAUGUAACGGGGCUAAACCAUGCACCGAAGCUGCGGCAGCGACACUGUGUGUUGUUGGGUAGGGGAGCGUUCUGUAAGCCUGUGAAGGUGUGCUGUGAGGCAUGCUGGAGGUAUCAGAAGUGCGAAUGCUGACAUAAGUAACGAUAAAGCGGGUGAAAAGCCCGCUCGCCGGAAGACCAAGGGUUCCUGUCCAACGUUAAUCGGGGCAGGGUGAGUCGACCCCUAAGGCGAGGCCGAAAGGCGUAGUCGAUGGGAAACAGGUUAAUAUUCCUGUACUUGGUGUUACUGCGAAGGGGGGACGGAGAAGGCUAUGUUGGCCGGGCGACGGUUGUCCCGGUUUAAGCGUGUAGGCUGGUUUUCCAGGCAAAUCCGGAAAAUCAAGGCUGAGGCGUGAUGACGAGGCACUACGGUGCUGAAGCAACAAAUGCCCUGCUUCCAGGAAAAGCCUCUAAGCAUCAGGUAACAUCAAAUCGUACCCCAAACCGACACAGGUGGUCAGGUAGAGAAUACCAAGGCGCUUGAGAGAACUCGGGUGAAGGAACUAGGCAAAAUGGUGCCGUAACUUCGGGAGAAGGCACGCUGAUAUGUAGGUGAAGUCCCUCGCGGAUGGAGCUGAAAUCAGUCGAAGAUACCAGCUGGCUGCAACUGUUUAUUAAAAACACAGCACUGUGCAAACACGAAAGUGGACGUAUACGGUGUGACGCCUGCCCGGUGCCGGAAGGUUAAUUGAUGGGGUCAGCGCAAGCGAAGCUCUUGAUCGAAGCCCCGGUAAACGGCGGCCGUAACUAUAACGGUCCUAAGGUAGCGAAAUUCCUUGUCGGGUAAGUUCCGACCUGCACGAAUGGCGUAAUGAUGGCCAGGCUGUCUCCACCCGAGACUCAGUGAAAUUGAACUCGCUGUGAAGAUGCAGUGUACCCGCGGCAAGACGGAAAGACCCCGUGAACCUUUACUAUAGCUUGACACUGAACAUUGAGCCUUGAUGUGUAGGAUAGGUGGGAGGCUUUGAAGUGUGGACGCCAGUCUGCAUGGAGCCGACCUUGAAAUACCACCCUUUAAUGUUUGAUGUUCUAACGUGGACCCGUGAUCCGGGUUGCGGACAGUGUCUGGUGGGUAGUUUGACUGGGGCGGUCUCCUCCUAAAGAGUAACGGAGGAGCACGAAGGUUGGCUAAUCCUGGUCGGACAUCAGGAGGUUAGUGCAAUGGCAUAAGCCAGCUUGACUGCGAGCGUGACGGCGCGAGCAGGUGCGAAAGCAGGUCAUAGUGAUCCGGUGGUUCUGAAUGGAAGGGCCAUCGCUCAACGGAUAAAAGGUACUCCGGGGAUAACAGGCUGAUACCGCCCAAGAGUUCAUAUCGACGGCGGUGUUUGGCACCUCGAUGUCGGCUCAUCACAUCCUGGGGCUGAAGUAGGUCCCAAGGGUAUGGCUGUUCGCCAUUUAAAGUGGUACGCGAGCUGGGUUUAGAACGUCGUGAGACAGUUCGGUCCCUAUCUGCCGUGGGCGCUGGAGAACUGAGGGGGGCUGCUCCUAGUACGAGAGGACCGGAGUGGACGCAUCACUGGUGUUCGGGUUGUCAUGCCAAUGGCACUGCCCGGUAGCUAAAUGCGGAAGAGAUAAGUGCUGAAAGCAUCUAAGCACGAAACUUGCCCCGAGAUGAGUUCU